AUUGAACGCUGGCGGCAGGCCUAACACAUGCAAGUCGAGCGGAUGAAGGGUGCUUGCUUCUGGAUUCAGCGGCGGACGGGUGAGUAAUGCCUAGGAAUCUGCCUGGUAGUGGGGGAUAACGCCCGGAAACGGGCGCUAAUACUGCAUACGUCCAGCGGGAGCAAGUGGGGGAUCUUCGGACCUCACGCUCUCAGAUGAGCCUAGGUCGGGUUAGCUAGUUGGUGGGGUAAAGGCCUACCAAGCCGACGAUCCGUAACUGGUCUGAGAGGAUGAUCAGUCACACUGGAACUGAGACACGGUCCAGACUCCUACGGGAGGCAGCAGUGGGGAAUAUUGGACAAAGGGCGAAAGCCUGAUCCAGCCAUGCCGCGUGUGUGAAGAAGGUCUUCGGAUUGUAAAGCACUUUAAGUUGGGAGGAAGGGCAGUAAGUUAAUACCUUGCUGUUUUGACGUUACCAACAGAAUAAGCACCGGCUAACUUCGUG
rnacentral:rRNA from 1 species